GGGCUGGACAGACUCGGCUAUGACAUCUUAGUUACCUUUGUCGUGGAGCGUGGGGAGGGGGGCUGGACGGACUCGGCUGUGACUUCUGUCUAAGUUACCUUUGUCACCGCUGUGACUAAGCACCUGACCGAAGAACUUAAGGAAGGAAGGAAGGAAGGAAGGAAGGAAGGAAGGAAGGAAGGAAGGAAGGAAGGAAGGGGCCCCAGUCAUGGAACGAUGCCAGCCACAUCCCAGGUGGGUCUUCCCCAGCCGCGCGUUAGCUGAAUCUGAAAAACCCGUCACAUGUGCCUGGAAGUCUGCUUCUAUGGUGAAUCUAAGAGCCACCGACGACGGAGCAAGAUGCUACAGCACAGCUCCCCUUUCUUGCCAAGGAGGACAACAAAAAGCCACCGAAGGAGACGGUAGCACCAAGGCAGGCACAAUCUUCAGAAGAUAGGUUUGAUGGACACCUGCUAACAGUUUCUUAUCAUCUUUGCACAACUAUCCAUCCCAACUGCCAGAGGACAAAACAGGGCCUGGACUGGAAUUCUUGAAUAAGGGGGGAUGGGGAAAGAAAUAAAAAGCAAAAGAAAGGACAUGACUGUGCCUAGGUAUGGAGAAAGAGAAAGUUUAUUGUAGAUAUGAGAAAGAACAUAGCCAGAGACAGAAACAUCUGGGAGAAUCCAGAGUGCUCAUGAUCCUGAGCCCUGUAGAGAAAUGGGGAGGGAAGGGAGAGAGGGGAGCAGCUGGAGGUCAGAGGUAACAA
rnacentral:lncRNA from 1 species